UACGUAGGGGGCUAGCGUUGUUCGGAAUUACUGGGCGUAAAGCGCGUGUAGGCGGUUGUUCAAGUCAGGUGUGAAAGCCUUGAGCUCAACUCAAGAAAUGCACUUGAUACUGGAUGACUAGAGGACCGGAGAGGAUAGUGGAAUUCCCAGUGUAGUGGUGAAAUACGUAGAGAUUGGGAAGAACACCAGUGGCGAAGGCGGCUAUCUGGACGGUUUCUGACGCUAAGACGCGAAAGCGUGGGGAGCAAACAGG
rnacentral:rRNA from 1 species